rnacentral:misc_RNA from 1 species
AACGCACCUUGCGCUCCUUGGUAUUCCGAGGAGCAUGCCUGUUUGAGUGUCAUUAAAUUCUCAACCAUUAUCAGCUUUUGCUGAUGAUGGCUUGGAUAUGGGGGUUUUAUUUUGCUGGCUUCUUCACAGAUUGUCAGCUCCCCUUAAAUGCAUUAGCCGGUGCCCCGCGUGGACUGUCUAUUGGUGUGAUAAUUAUCUACGCCGUGGACAUCUACAAUUAUAUGGGUUUGCACUGCUUCCAACCGUCUGUUUAUUCAGACAAUACAUGACAAUUUGACCUCAAAUCAGGUAGGACUACCCGCUGAACUUAA